CGCAGCCGCGGUAAUUCCAGCUCCAAUAGCGUAUAUUAAAGUUGUUGCAGUUAAAAAGCUCGUAGUUGAAUUUCGGGAUCAAAUUGUCGGUCGUGCCUCGGUACGUACUGGCGUUAUUGGUUCCUCCCUUCUGAAGAACCGCGAUGUCAUUAAUUUGGUGUCGCGGGGAGUCAGGACUGUUACUUUGAAAAAAUUAGAGUGUUUAAAGCAGGCUCGCGCUUGAAUACAUUAGCAUGGGAUAAUGAAAUAGGACGUUUGAUUCUAUUUUGUUGGUUUCUAGGAUCGACGUAAUGAUUAAUAGGGAUAGUUGGGGGCAUUAGUAUUCAAUUGUCAGAGGUGAAAUUCUUGGAUUUAUUGAAGACUAACUACUGCGAAAGCAUUUGCCAAGGAUGUUUCAUUAAUCAAGAACGAAGUUAGGGGAUCGAAGACGAUCAGAUACCGUCGUAGUCUUAACCAUAAACCUAUGCCGACUAGGGAUCGGGAUGAUUGUUAAUUUUUAAUGUACUCAUUCGGCGCCUUACGGGAAACCAAAGUGUUUAGGGUUCG
rnacentral:rRNA from 1 species